GAGCAGAACGCGUUUGCGCUCUAUGUCCCUCCGCAGCCCCUCCACCGUCCUCUCUGCCCCCAAAGGUACCUCCCCACCUCCACUUUAGUCUCACCCCUAAGUACCCCGAAGAAAGCCAAUAUUUCCUUCUCUCCGCAGCAUCCCAGAUAUUAACUGUUCUAUCUCAAUGGUUUUCAGAUUUUAUCUUGCCUCUUGGGUACCCUUUGGGACCCUUAUGUCAUCCCCACCAUCAGGGCACCCAGACUUAACCCUAACUGCAAGUCCCAGACUCACUCUGGUCCUUAUUGAUGAGCCAGGUGUCCUUGGAGUCAAGUGGCUCACUGUCACCGAUUUCAUUCCGAGCCACCACUCUGAAGUAGUACUUCCUGCCUGGGAGCAGCCCCGUCACUGUGUACUUGUUGCUGAAGACACGCUCGGCUGCUGUGUACCAGGUGGCUGUGCUUGCAUCCCGCUUCAUGAUGACAUAGUGAGCCUCAUUGUCCUCCUGCACAUCUGGGCUGUGGUUCCAGCCAUCUGCCAAGUCCGAUGGAAGAUAAGAUGGGACAAGUCUCAGGCAGCUGGUGUCUUGGAGUCGGAAAACUAUUUCUGAAGUCUGCUCUGCCAUUUACUAGCCUCGUGACCUGGGGCCAUACAGACAUCUAGCUGCCCUGCAACACUGUGAAGCAUUUAUUUGUUUUCUCAUCUGUCUCCUUCUACUAGUACGCAAGACCCUGGAAGGCAAGUCCUUGUGUCUUGUUUCUAUAUCCCUAACACCUCCUUUUGAAAUUGCCAUUGCAACAAUUAUAACAGCGAGAAAAUUAUGACAGUGAACAAGAUCUGAUCUAACCAACCCCCAUCUUGCCUUUAACCUCCAAACUGCCCUUAAUCAUUCCUGGUUUCAGACCAAGCUAAUGUUGGGAGAGACAUUUAGUUUAUAGCUUAGAUGGUAACAGUCUUCCCCCAAACUAAAUCACCUUUGCGAAGCUAAUGAAAGGCCACCAGGUUAGGAGGAUGUGAGAAGCCUGAAUUCUGCUAAGGUGUAGACAUAAAAGAUUACCAGCCAUUAUUCCAUAGAUCACAAGAUUUGCAACUCCCCAGCUGCU
rnacentral:lncRNA from 1 species